GACCUCAAAUCAGGUAGGACUACCCGCUGAACUUAAGCGUAUA
rnacentral:rRNA from 1 species